rnacentral:rRNA from 1 species
AGAGUUUGAUCCUGGCUCAGAAUGAACGCUGGCGGCGUGCUUAACACAUGCAAGUCGAACGAGAAAGGGAUUGCUUGCAAUCCUGAGUAGAGUGGCGCACGGGUGAGUAACACGUAGAUAAUCUACCUUCGAGCCUGGGAUAACUAAUCGAAAGGUUAGCUAAUACCGGAUGAAGUGAAUUGACAAAAGUUAAUUGAUGAAAGAUUGCCUAUCCAUGGAAGCAAUUGUUUGGAGAUGAGUUUGCGGACCAUUAGUUUGUUGGUGGGGUAAAGGCCUACCAAGACGAUGAUGGUUAGCUGGUCUGAGGGGAUGAUCAGCCACACUGGAACUGAAACACGGUCCAGACUCCUACGGGAGGCAGCAGUGAGGAAUUUUGCGCAAUGGGGGAAACCCUGACGCAGCGACGCCGCGUGGAGGAUGAAGGCCUUCGGGUUGUAAACUCCUUUUCUUGGGGAAAAUGAUGAUGGUACCCAAGGAAUAAGCCACGGCUAACUCUGUGCCAGCAGCCGCGGUAAGACAGAGGUGGCGAGCGUUGUUCGGAAUUACUGGGCUUAAAGGGCGAGUAGGCGGUGGAACAAGUCUGAGGUGGAAUCCUAUGGCUUAACCAUAGAACUGCCUUAGAAACUGUUUUACUUGAGUCAGUGAGGGGAGGGCGGAAUUCCUGGUGUAGCGGUGAAAUGCGUAGAUAUCAGGAGGAAGGCCUGUGGCGAAGGCGGCCCUCUGGCGCUGUACUGACGCUGAGGCGCGAAAGCGUGGGGAGCAAACAGGAUUAGAUACCCUGGUAGUCC